GAUGAAGAACGUAGCGAAAUGCGAUAAGUAAUGUGAAUUGCAGAAUUCAGUGAAUCAUCGAAUCUUUGAACGCACCUUGCGCUCCUUGGUAUUCCAAGGAGCAUGCCUGUUUGAGUAUCAUUAAAUUAUCAACUGUGCCAAUUUGGUUACAGCUUGGAUGUGGGAGAUUCUUUUUGCAGGCCUUUGACUUCUCUUUGAGAAAAAAAAUAAAAGGUCGGCUCUCCUGAAAUGUUUUAGCAGUGCCUUUGUUGGUUCAUUAGGUGUGAUAAAUUGUCUACAUCUUCGCAUGAUACCUUCAUUUGUAAAGUUCAUAUUGCUUCUAAAUUGUCUUUGAUUGGACGCAAAACAUAUAUAAUGUUUGACAAACUUGAUCUCAAAUCAGGCAGGACUACCCGCUGAACUUAAGCAUAUCAAUAAGCGGAGGA
rnacentral:misc_RNA from 1 species